UUAUUGUAACUCAUUUAUACUUAAAAAUAAACUACACCUUGAUUUGAUAUUAAUUUUAUUAUAAAAUAUAGAAAAUUAUUAUUCUUAUAAAAUAUUCUAAUAACAACGAUAUAUAAAUUGAAAAACAAUUUUAAGUGAGGUACAUCGGGGAUUAUCGAUUACAAAACAAGUUCCUCUGAAUAGACUAAAAUACCGCCAAAUUUUUUAAGUUUCAAGAACAUAACUAAUACUACUCAAAUAAUUUUUUAUUGAUAUUUUAAAUAAUAGGGUAUCUAAUCCUAGUU
rnacentral:rRNA from 1 species